rnacentral:rRNA from 1 species
CGUAGGUGGCGAGCGUUAUCCGGAUUUACUGGGCGUAAAGCGUGUGCAGGCGGGGUGAUAAGUGGUGUAUGAAAUUUCCCAGCUUAACUGGGAGGGGUUAUGCCAGACUGUCACUCUAGAGUGCGAGAGAGGAACGUGGAAUUCCGGGUGUAGUGGUGAAAUGCGUAGAGAUCCGGAGGAACCCCAGAGGCGAAGGCGGCGUUCUGGCUCGCAACUGACGCUCAGACACGACAGCAUGGGGAGCGGACGGGAUUAGAAACCCCGGUAGUCCAUGCCGUAAACGAUGUCAACUAGGCGCUGAGGGUAUUAACCCCCGCGGUGCCGAAGCAAACGCGAUAAGUUGACCGCCUGGGGAGUACGGCCGCAAGGCUA